ACACUUACCUAGAAGAGGAGAUACCAUGAUCACGAAGGUGGUUUUCCCAGGGCAAGGCUUAUCCAUUGCACCCCAGAUGUGCUGACCCCUGUGAUUUCCCCAAAUAUGGGAAACUAAACUGCAUAAGUUGUGGUAGUGGGGGACUGCGUUCAGGCUCUCUCCUG